CCAGAGUGCCCUAGGCUCUCCAACCCAUUGUGAACAUACCUAUCGUUCCCUCGGCGGGCUCAGCGCGCGGUGCCUCCGGGCUCCGGGCGUCCGCCGGGGACAACCAAACUCUGAUUUUAUUGUGAAUCUCUGAGGGGCGAAAGCCCGAAAACAAAAUGAAUCA
rnacentral:misc_RNA from 4 species